AUGAACGCUAGCUACAGGCUUAACACAUGCAAGUCGAGGGGUAGCAGGGUAGCAAUACCGCUGACGACCGGCGCACGGGUGAGUAACACGUAUCCAACCUUCCUUUUACUCGGGGAUAGCCUUUCGAAAGAAAGAUUAAUACCCGAUAGUAUAUGUCAUUCGCAUGUUUGACAUAUUAAAGUUUUUCGGUAAUUGAUGGGGAUGCGUUUCAUUAGAUUGUUGGUGAGGUAACGGCUCACCAAGUCUUCGAUGAAUAGGGGUUCUGAGAGGAAGGUCCCCCACACUGGUACUGAGACACGGACCAGACUCCUACGGGAGGCAGCAGUGAGGAAUAUUGGUCAAUGGACGAGAGUCUGAACCAGCCAAGUAGCGUGAAGGAUGACUGCCCUAUGGGUUGUAAACUUCUUUUAUAUAGGAAUAAAGUGAGGUACGUGUACCUUUUUGUAUGUACUAUAUGAAUAAGGAUCGGCUAACUCCGUGCCAGCAGCCGCCGUAAC
rnacentral:rRNA from 1 species